rnacentral:rRNA from 1 species
AUUGGAGGGCAAGUCUGGUGCCAGCAGCCGCGGUAAUUCCAGCUCCAAUAGCGUAUAUUAAAAUUGUUGCAGUUAAAAAGCUCGUAGUUGAAUUUCUGCUGCAUUGCUUUUGCUCCUUUACGAGUCUUUGCAUUGUGGCUUAUUUCGGACUUUGUUUUACAAUGUCCGGAUGUUUACUUUGAGAAAAUUAGAGUGCUCAAAGCAGGCUUUCGCCUUGAAUAGUUUAGCAUGGAAUAAUAAAGUAGGACUUUGGUUCUAUUUUGUUGGUUUUAGGUACCAAAGUAAUGGUUAAUAGGAACAGUUGGGGGCAUUCGUAUUUAACUGUCAGAGGUGAAAUUCUUAGAUUUGUUAAAGACGAACUACUGCGAAAGCAUUUGCCAAGGAUGUUUUCAUUAAUCAAGAACGAAAG